AUGGGCAAGGCGAAGGGGAAGCAGCGGCAGGACGAGUACUACCACCUCGCCAAGGAGCAGGGCUACCGGAGCCGCGCGGCCUUCAAGCUGCAGCAGCUCGACGACCGCUUCCGGUUCCUCCCGCCGGCGCGCGCCGUGCUCGACCUCUGCGCGGCGCCGGGGGGCUGGAUGCAGGUGGCCGUCGCACCCGAUGGACGAUAG
rnacentral:rRNA from 1 species